rnacentral:rRNA from 1 species
UACGAAGGGGGCUAGCGUUGUUCGGAUUUACUGGGCGUAAAGCGCACGUAGGCGGAUCUUUAAGUCAGAGGUGAAAUCCCAAGGCUCAACCUUGGAACUGCCUUUGAUACUGGGGAUCUUGAGUCCGGGAGAGGUGAGUGGAACUGCGAGUGUAGAAGUGAAAUUCGUAGAUAUUCGCAAGAACACCAGUGGCGAAGGCGGCUCACUGGCCCGGUACUGACGCUGAGGUGCGAAAGCGUGGGGAGCAAACAGG